rnacentral:rRNA from 1 species
AAUUUUCGGCAAUGGGGGCAACGCUGACCGAGCGACGCCGCGUGAGUGAAGUUGGNCUNNGGAUUNUNAAGCCCUUUUGUAAGNNNNNAAACGUACCAGUCGGGAAUCACUGGUUCCUGACGGUACCUUACUAGAAAGCCACGGCUAACUACGUGCCAGCAGCCGCGGUAAUACGUAGGUGGCAAGCGUUAUCCGGAAUUAUUGGGCGUAAAGGGAGCGCAGGCGGCUUAUUAAGUCUGAGGUUAAAGUUCGGGGCUCAACCCCGUGAUACCUUAGAAACUGGUAGGCUAGAGUGCAGGAGAGGUGAGUGGAAUUCCAUGUGUAGCGGUAAAAUGCGUAGAUAUAUGGAGGAACACCAGUGGCGAAGGCGGCUCACUGGCCUGUAACUGACGCUGAGGCUCGAAAGCGUGGGGAGCAAAU